AGCAGCCGCGGUAAUUCCAGCUCCAAUAGCGUAUAUUAAAGUUGUUGCAGUUAAAAAGCUCGUAGUUGAAUUUCGGAAUCAAUGGAUCGGUCAUGCCACUCGGUGUGUACUGGUUUGAUUGGUUCUCACCUUCUAAGGAACCGUGAUGUCAUUAAUUUGGUGUCGCGGGGAAUUAGGACUGUUACCUUGAAAAAAUUAGAGUGUUUAAAGCAAGCUCACGCUUGAAUACAUUAGCAUGGAAUAAUGAAAUAGGACAUUGUAUUCUAUUUUGUUGGUUUCUAGGAUCGAUGUAAUGAUUAAUAGGGAUAGUUGGGGGCAUUAGUAUUCAAUUGUCAGAGGUGAAAUUCUUGGAUUUAUUGAAGACUAACUACUGCGAAAGCAUUUUGCCAAGGAUGUUUUCAUUAAUCAAGAACGAAAGUUAGGGGAUCGAAGACGAUCAGAUACCGUCGUAGUCUUAACCAUAAACUAUGCCGACUAGGGAUCGGAUGAUGUUAAUUUUUUCAAUGACUCAUUCGGCACC
rnacentral:misc_RNA from 1 species